rnacentral:lncRNA from 1 species
AAUAUAUGUAUAACAAAUUUUUUAAGUAUACACAUAAAGUUCACAUCUAAAAUAAACGUAUGUAUUUAUUUAAAUGUGUGCAUAUUACACAUACAGGUGUGUACAUAUACAUAUAGAGAUGUAUGUAUGUAUGUAAAGUUCACGGACCCAGGACUAAGAACCCCUGGACUGCAAAGACCACCAGGAAGGUGAAGCCACUCAACUCUAAGGAAUCAGUACAACGCCCCGUAAUGUAGCUCAGCGCGUGGUAGCGCCCCCUAGACGCAGUAGGCGGUAUUGCCCGCAGGACAGCGAGGGCCUCUACCUACCCAUUUCGCUAGCCUGGGUCCUACUUCGUGCUAAAGGCCUGGGUAAAGCGAGACACACCGUCACAGCCAUUACCAAGAGUCUGCGAUGAAGGACACGGAUCUCAACCAAUCGCACCCUGGCUCCACAAUACCCCCUUCCCUCCUAAAUAAAGUGCAGAAGGAAGCGAAGCAUUGUAGAUAAAGAGAAAAGUUGGGCUGGGGAAAGGAGGUUAGGGUCUCCCCAGGAGCGGGAGGGAAGGGGGAGGGGAAGGAGGGAGUCUACGCGCGCGCGUAGCUACACGCGAGAGGGAGGGGGGAACUCCAGCGAGGGCUGCCCCAGCGAGAGGGCGGCUCUACGACGACACGGAGCUCCGCCCCGAGGCUCCGGCCCCGCCCCCGAGGAAGGAGGGGCCCCGGGGGCUGGAACUGGAGGAGGGAGAAAUAAAUAAAGGACGGUACCAGGCUGGGAAGUUCCGGAAAGCGGCUCGGCUCCCUCUCCGUGGAGCUUCACCGGCGACGCAUCCCGGCCCAGCGGUGCGGGGAGGAGCCGACUCCCAUGGAGUGAAAGGGCAAGUGACCGAGGGGAAGUGGAACCGGUGGGGGAGAGCUGCUGUCGUCUGGUUCAUCCGCUAACGUUUGUUGGCUUUACCCUUGCUUGGGGCUAUUGGGCCAGUAAACCUGGGGACCGUGAACUGAAAUGGAAAAAAAAAUACAUCUUUAUUUCAAUAAAACCAGUUUUCUUAUAAUCCUAUGUAUUUUU